AUUCACAAUAUUAGAAUUAGGAGGCAUGCAUAAAGAUCUUAAUAUUUCACUAUGUAUUACACAAGUCAUUUUUUUAGUAUGUACCAUAUAAAUAACAACCAUGUUAUCCUGCCCUUUAUUAAGGGUCUUAUUUGUAAAUUCUAAUUCCAAUAACUUUUUACCUUUUGGUAUCAUUUUUACUAGUUCCCUCAAUUUUAAUUUAAUGUUUUGUACAUUUAUUAUUAUGAUCUUAUCACCAAUACAUAUCAAGCUACUUAUUGGAAUUAAAAUUUGUUUAGAAAUACCAUAUGUCCAUUACUCAUUCCUGAUACAGUUAUAUUCUCCCUUUCCCAAGUAUUGCCCUCUCUCAACAUGGCGGAAUGCGUACUUCUGGUACACGAGGAGUACUAUGAAUGGUUAAGUGAUGUCACUUCCGGUGGACGUCACGCCCGGACUAAAAUCAAACCAUCGCAUUCAAUGAGAGGACAAUUCUUCAUUGAAUACCAUACAGACAUUUUUACAGCUCUUAUCUUCAUAAGACUUACUCACAUUAUUACGGUAUUACCUGACCGGAACACAGCGGUGCCAUUUUGGCUCUGUAUGCGUUCCAAGCGCACAGAAUAACAUACUGGAUAAAGCCGAGUCACUUCCGGUAUGACGCGUGCUUUCGAUGAUGGUUACAGGAAGCCACCAAUUACACUCACCAGGAAUUAAUCUGCUAUUAGACUGUCUAUAUAAACGGAACUUAUGAGGCCUUCACUACACUCUUGAAGAAGCCUUGACCAGGCGAAACACGUCAGUGGAACCCUUUGAAGUGACCUAUUAUUGUUUUUAGUACUUUUUUAUAAUAGUAAAUUUUAUUUUAUAUUUUACUUAUUUAUUUUUACUUCCUGGCUCCAUCAUAUCCUUAGGUAGGGAUUAUACCACCCAUGCUGUAUACACUAGAGCAAGUUCUGCUCUAGUAAAUAGACGUCUACAUCUACACACAUCAUUAGACGGGGAUUAUUCCGUCCAUGCGUAUUACAGCUGAGCUCUAAAUAAGCUCUAACAAAUGUGAGUGCUAGCCCAUAAGAUUAUCUCACCACUCUUCACCAACUAUACAGGGAGUGCAGAAUUAUUAGGCAAAUGAGUAUUUUGACCACAUCAUCCUCUUUAUGCAUGUUGUCUUACUCCAAGCUGUAUAGGCUCGAAAGCCUACUACCAAUUAAGCAUAUUAGGUGAUGUGCAUCUCUGUAAUGAGAAGGGGUGUGGUCUAAUGACAUCAACACCCUAUAUCAGGUGUGCAU